rnacentral:rRNA from 1 species
GACGAACGCUGGCGGCGUGCUUAACACUUGCAAGUCGAACGGAAAGGCCCUGCUUUUGUGGGGUGCUCGAGUGGCGAACGGGUGAGUAACACGUGAGUAACCUGCCCUUGACUUUGGGAUAACUUCAGGAAACUGGGGCUAAUACCGGAUAGGAGCUCCUGCUGCAUGGUGGGGGUUGGAAAGUUUCGGCGGUUGGGGAUGGACUCGCGGCUUAUCAGCUUGUUGGUGGGGUAGUGGCUUACCAAGGCUUUGACGGGUAGCCGGCCUGAGAGGGUGACCGGCCACAUUGGGACUGAGAUACGGCCCAGACUCCUACGGGAGGCAGCAGUGGGGAAUAUUGCACAAUGGGCGGAAGCCUGAUGCAGCAACGCCGCGUGCGGGAUGACGGCCUUCGGGUUGUAAACCGCUUUCGCCUGUGACGAAGUGUGAGUGACGGUAAUGGGUAAAGAAGCACCGGCUAACUACGUG